rnacentral:rRNA from 1 species
UACGGAGGGUGCAAGCGUUGUCCGGAAUCACUGGGCGUAAAGGGCGCGUAGGCGGCUCAUGAAGGCUGUGGUGAAAGUCCGGGGCUCAACCUCGGAUCGGCCGUGGCGACUCGUGGGCUGGAGCACUGUAGAGGCGGGUGGAAUUCCGGGUGUAGAGGUGAAAUUCGUAGAUAUUCGGAAGAACACCAGUGGCGAAGGCGGCUGACUGGACAUGUAUUGACGCUGAGGUGCGAAAGCGUGGGGAGCAAACAGG